CAAAAGCAUGGUCUUUGCUACCUUCUGGCAUCCACUUGGGUGAUGGGGACCAGACUCUGCUGCUGGAGCCCCUUCUCUGCAGCUCUGUGCCAUGCAGGGGCUUCUGACUUGAACCCAGAGCCCUCAGAUUGCAGAGAAACACGUGUCAGGAGCUGGCAGGGUUCAGAGUGUGGGAUGCAUGUGGAUGGUUCAGCCUGGAGAUAAGGGGAUGGAGCAGAAGCUGAUAUCCACCACUACCUACCUGAAGUGUGGGGCAUAAGGAAAGAGGAGCAAGGUUCAUCUGGAAGAUACAAAGUGAAGGGCCAUGAGGCACCUCCUCAUCUCAUUCUUCUCUUGGUUCUAUGAAUUAAGCAGUGCAGGAAGUGCUGCAGGCUCCUGCUCUUGGAAGAAUCAGCUGCUGAGAAUGGCUGCUGACUCCAACCCCUGCUGCUUGCUCAGGAGAAGGCUGGAAGAGGCCUGUGAGGAAGAGGAGGAGGAAGGUGCCUGUGGGACAGCUUGUCUUUCUUCCAUUCCCACAGUCUGUGUUGGUGCACUUGGGCUUUGCAGCAGCUCUCCUGGGUUCCAGGACUUCAGUGGAGUGGACAAGUGCUGCAAUCUCUCAGCAAAGCCACUCUGGAUGCUGUGUGACUCUCCACAGAGAACUGAAAUAUUUACAGGUGCAUUUAAAAUGCUGAAGGCACCGAGUAUUUGUGAUAUUGACCUCCCAUGA
rnacentral:lncRNA from 1 species